UUUCAUUUGUGAUGCUUUAGUGGCUUUUCUUGGCGGCAAAAAGUAAACAAAAAACAAAAUAUAAAUUUGUGGUGAAAAUGGCGGAUUUAUGUGAAAAAAGUGGAACGAUGAGAGGAAGAAAUUACUUAUAGAAAUAAGAUUGAAGUAUGGGCCAGAUUUCGUUGCAAAAAACAAAAGAGGAACACACUUUGGGAGCAAAUAAUACGGGAUGGGAAGAAAAUAGAUAACACAUUCCCAUUCUUCAAGGACGAAAGUACCAGAUGUUUUGUUAAUAUAAUGGGCACCUACAAACGAAUAAAAAAACGCAACAACACAUCUGGGGAAGGCGCAACAAAUUGGGAAUUUUUCCAAACAUUGGAUGAAGUUUUCGGCAGCCGCAGUAGUGCCCUUGUACCUGAUGCCAUACUGGAAUCUUCCCUUGAGUCCUUAAUGUAAUAUUUAAGUAAUGAUCCACCCGAUAGCCCUACGGUGCUGGACUUAGAUGCAACAUUACCUAGUACUAGCACUCCAAGAAAUAAACUAACAAGAAAAAGCAAUGUGUUAGAGUUUUUAAACAAGGAAUCGGAAGAAGAUGCGAAAGUUAUGAAGAAAUUGCUGGAACAGUGGAAAAGGAAAAAUUGGUCGAAUUGAAAGAAAUUCGUACACUGUUCCAGAAAAUACUCGACAAAUCUAAGAAUUCAAUGAUUGAAUACGUUCCCUUUCGGUUGCGAUAGCUGAUUUCAUCUUUGAUUGGCUGAGAAAUUGGAAUAUGAGUUCCGUCGAUGCAUCCAAUUACAAACGGAAAAGGAUUAUACCGCAGAAACACCUUAUAUGC